rnacentral:rRNA from 1 species
AGUAAGUAGUCUUCGGUAAGUACUAGCUUAUGUAGGGGAGGUAACUACGGAACGUAGUAGCUAUACGACGUACGAAUACGUAGAGAUGAAGUAGUGGACGUCGGCCGACAUGCCAUAGGAUGAGCCCAAGUGGGAUUAGGUAGUUGGUGAGGUAAAGGCUCACCAAGCCGACGAUCUCUAGCUGGUCUGAGAGGAUGACCAGCCACACUGGGACUGAGACACGGCCCAGACUCCUACGGGAGGCAGCAGUGGGGAAUAUUGCGCAAUGGGGGCAACCCUGACGCAGCCAUGCCGCGUGAAUGAAGAAGGCCUUCGGGUUGUAAAGUUCUUUCGGUAGCGAGGAAGGCAUUUAGUUUAAUAAACUAGGUGAUUGACGUUAACUACAGAAGAAGCACCGGCUAACUCCGUG